GCCCCAAUUUAGCUCCACAUAUUUUGUCCUUACCCUAUCUGACCCCUCUGUCAUCGGUUCACCUGAAAGUUCAAAGUUCACCACACAGACACUUAAAGGAUUUGUUGUUCCAACCAAAAAAAAAAUCUGUAUUUUGGUGAAAUCUUGCGCUGAAACUUUAGUUUCUCCCUUUUUUCCUGUUUAGUCUUUCACUAGGAAACUGACAUCUCUAAGCUGGCAAAGACGAUUUUCAGUUCUAUAGACACCAUUUUCUCAAAGACAAAGACUUUUUCUGACCUUCAGUUGAUUAAUGAAAUGUUUUUCUCUCAGGGUGUUGAAUGCCAGAUCUAAUCUCUCUUUGACUCUUGAGCUCUAGAGAAGAAGCCUCCAUGAUGUCCCAGAAGAUCCAAUAACCUUCAGGAUCAUACGCACUCAAGGAAUACACUGACCAACUUGAGCCUUUCAAAGAUGGCUGACCUCUCCGCCUUAUCUCCCCAUACCUCCUUUGUCCCUCAGGAGGUUUUCCAGUUAUGCCUCACUGAGCCUGAGGCAAAAACAGGACUUGCUGAAGGUAAGAGAUAUUUCUUUUGGCAUGGGAAUGUUUUGAGAUCUUCUUGAAUCAGCCAGAGAGAAGAAUGUAUGUGUUUCCCAUCUGAACCUGAACCAGGUAACUUUGGACGCCAGUAACAUGUUGUUUAUAUCUUUGAUUAUUUUUACAAUGCUGGCUUGUUUGUGUGAAUAAAAGGUUGGAAAUGUUCCUGUUUUGUAUGAAUAAGAAUAAUUUUAUUCACAUACACAAGGUGGAUAAAGCUGGACUCAUAACCUUAUUUUCCCAACAGAUAAAGCUGAUUUGAGAAACUACGAGGCAUUAAUUUGCUAACUUUGCAGUCUUUUCCAAACACCAUCAAGUGUUACGUUUUGUCACCAUGUCCUCCUUUGUCCUGUGGUGUGUUUGUCUCAUGGGAUCCACUUGUAAAAAUGCGUGUUUUCCAAAUGCCACAGAGCAGAAUGUCCCAUCAGGGAACAAUAAAACUGAUUUCAAAAGCAAAUGAAACAGCCUCACGCUGCUGAAGAAAAUUAACAGCCCCUCCAGGGUCACUUUGGCACGGUCACGGAUACGCUGCUGGAAACUUUGUCGUGUCUCUAACACCCUCUCGGGGUUCAUGGGGUGUGUGAAAUUUGAAGUUAGAAGAUGCAAAGUUGCCGUCAGGGGUGAUGAUAAACCGCCUCAGAGACUCCAAACAACUCAAACAAGGACAAACACAAUCUGAUCUGGACAGUAGGGAGACCAGAGAAUCGCAUCGAAGCAGAGGAACCCUGGCGGCGAAUCCCCUCUGUCUGACCUGCAGAGUCACGGGUCAAUGAGCGAGACGGCGCUGUGGCUAAGGAAAAUCAAAACAGAGUUUGAAAUGUUUUCAAGGAACUCUGCAGCAAACUGUCAAACAAUAAUUAGUUUUGCUGCCUGAAGUGUAAGGCAGAGUGACCAGACAGCUGGGUAGUAAAACUCCAAAUGUUGGCGAUUGACAGUGUAGACGGUGAGAUAUGGAGCUCCAACUGGUUCAGGAGAAAAGAAAUGGUGGAUAGACGGAUAAAGUAUGGAGCCUGUGUGUUUUAACCUCUAAAAUAGAGAGUUGUUACUGAUUUGUAUUGCCAGUAGUAGAUAGCACAACAACAAUCCCACUGGUUUAUCAACUUUUAGCUAGAACAUCUUCAACUGCAUUGAUGGUAUUCACAAAUUCCAGUUCCAACUGUAGUUAGACGAAUCAAAGCAUAACUGUUAAGGGUAGACCAACCUAACAGUUAGCAAAACAAGCUAAAAAUAGUGUAUUUAUCAAAAUGUUUUACAACGCUUCAAUCACUAAUGUCACAUAUUAAUAAAAGAAAUUGUAGUGUAUUAGCUAAAAAGUAUCAGGAGACAAAAUCUAUCAACAAAAAGUGUUUAUUAUUGUACCUUUUAUAUGUUAUAGAUGUUAACAGUCAUUUUGAAUUUUUACCUGAUAUAGCUUUGGGAUAAGUUUAACUAACUUCUCUUUUGUCAGUCUGAAGUAAUUUGAAGUAGUUAAUUAAUUUAUUUUAUUUUAUAAGGUCAUAACGUCAGAUUAUUAUAUUUUUCUUACUUUAAACAAAAUACAAUUAUGUCAAUGAUUGUUUUUUGAGUGCAUAUUUCCUUGUUUUUCUCUGCAUUCUAUGCAAUUCAAAUACUGAAGGUACACUGAAGAAAUCAAACACAAGAGUUUUAAAAUUGCUUUAAUGGCGGAGCUUCCGUCCUCAUCUCCCACUGAACUGUUAGCUAUAAUCUUCCACAUCCACGAGCUGUGAGGAAUGAAAUCCCUGCAGGACUGUUGUUGUCUGUAAAGACACUUUUUCCUGACAGAGACGAAUAAAUGACAUGUAAGUCAGAAGCUUUUCAGCAGAGCAUCGAGAUGAAGGAACGACUGGGUAAAGGAAAAUUAC